UCCUCGAUAGCUCAAUGGUGGAGCACUCGGCUGUUAACCGAUAGGCUGGUUCGAGUCCUCUUCGAGGAGCCA
rnacentral:tRNA from 1 species